UACAGAGGGUGCGAGCGUUAAUCGGAAUUACUGGGCGUAAAGCGCACGUAGGUGGCGACGUAAGUCGGGUGUGAAAGCCCCGGGCUCAACCUGGGAAUUGCAUUCGAGACUGCAUUGCUGGAGUACGGAAGAGGAGGGCGGAAUUCCCGGUGUAGCGGUGAAAUGCGUAGAUAUCGGGAGGAACAUCAGUGGCGAAGGCGGCCCUCUGGUCCAGUACUGACACUCAAGUGACGAAAGCGUGGGGAGCAAACAGG
rnacentral:rRNA from 1 species